GUGUAAAUGUAAAGGGGGAGGAAGGAUUAACCUGUGGCAAAUUUGACUUCCUGUGGACACACUUAGCGGUGGUCCGCUAAGGAAAAUCGAGAUCAAAUUUGAUUCUCGACGAGACAACAUAAUCCGAGUUGAGUCUUUUCAAUACUUAA